UACGAAGGGGGCUAGCGUUGUUCGGAAUCACUGGGCGUAAAGCGCACGUAGGCGGAUCUUUAAGUCAGGGGUGAAAUCCCGAGGCUCAACCUCGGAACUGCCUUUGAUACUGGGGAUCUCGAGUCCGGGAGAGGUGAGUGGAACUGCGAGUGUAGAGGUGAAAUUCGUAGAUAUUCGCAAGAACACCAGUGGCGAAGGCGGCUCACUGGCCCGGAACUGACGCUGAGGUGCGAACGCGUGGGGAGCAAACAGG
rnacentral:rRNA from 1 species